rnacentral:rRNA from 1 species
UACGAGAGGUGCAAGCGUUAUUCGGAAUUAUUGGGCGUAAAGGGUGCGCAGGCGGCUUAUUAAGUCAGUUGUUUAAUUCCUCGGCCUAACUGAGGAUCAGCAGCAGAAACUGGUAAGCUUGAGUGUGAGAGAGAGGAGUGGAAUUCUCGGAGUAGCGGUAAAAUGCGUAGAUCUCGAGAGGAACACCGAUGGCGAAGGCAGCUCCUUGGCCUGCACUGACGCUCAUGCACGAAAGCGUGGGGAGCAAACAGG